GAUGAACGCUGGCGGCGUGCUUAACACAUGCCAGUCGAACGAGAAGUGAAGACGGAAACCUUCGGGCGGAAGGCUUUAUUUCGAGUGGCGGACGGGUGAGUAACGCGUGGGUAACCUGCCUCAUACAGGGGGAUAACAGUUGGAAACGACUGUUAAUACCGCAUAAGACCACAGCACCGCAUGGUGCGGGGGUAAAAACUCCGGUGGUAUGAGAUGGACCCGCGUUCGAUUAGCCAGUUGGCGGGGUAACGGCCCACCAAAGCGACGAUCGAUAGCCGAUCUGAGAGGAUGACCGGCCACAUUGGGACUGAGACACGGCCCAAACUCCUACGGGAGGCAGCAGUGGGGAAUAUUGCACAAUGGGGGAAACCCUGAUGCAGCGACGCCGCGUGAGUGAAGAAGUAUUUCGGUAUGUAAAGCUCUAUCAGCAGGGAAGAAAAUGACGGUACCUGAGUAAGAAGCCCCGGCUAACUACGUC
rnacentral:rRNA from 1 species